GUAGGGAAUAUUGGGCAAUGGACGGAAGUCUGACCCAGCCAUGCCGCGUGCAGGAAGAAGGCCUUCUGGGUUGUAAACUGCUUUUAUAUGGGAAGAAAAAGCGCUUGCGAGCGAAACUGACGGUACCAUAUGAAUAAGCACCGGCUAACUCCGUGCCAGCAGCCGCGGUAAUACGGAGGGUGCAAGCGUUGUCCGGAUUUAUUGGGUUUAAAGGGUGCGUAGGCGGCUUUUUAAGUCAGUGGUGAAAUCCUGCAGCUUAACUGUAGAACUGCCAUUGAUACUGGAAGGCUUGAGUACAGACGAGGUAGGCGGAAUUGAUUGUGUAGCGGUGAAAUGCAUAGAUACAAUCAAGAACACCGAUUGCGUAGGCAGCUUACUAGGCUGUAACUGACGCUGAGGCACGAAAGCGUGGGGAGCGAACAGGAUUAGAAACCCUAGUAGUCC
rnacentral:rRNA from 1 species